UACGGGGGGGGGCAAGCGUUGUUCGGAAUUACUGGGCGUAAAGGGCUCGUAGGCGGCCUGUUAAGUCGAACGUGAAAUCCCCGGGCUCAACCCGGGAACUGCGUCCGAUACUGGCAGGCUUGAAUCCGGGAGAGGGAUGCGGAAUUCCAGGUGUAGCGGUGAAAUGCGUAGAUAUCAGGAGGAACACCGGUGGCGAAGGCGGGUCUCUGGGCCGAAAUUGACGCUGAGGAGCGAAAGCGUGGGGAGCAAACAGG
rnacentral:rRNA from 1 species